UACGGAGGGUGCGAGCGUUGUUCGGAUUUACUGGGCGUAAAGGGCGCGUAGGCGGCGCGGUAAGUCACUUGUGAAAUCUCUGAGCUUAACUCAGAACGGCCAAGUGAUACUGCAGUGCUAGAGUGUGGAAGGGGCAAUCGGAAUUCUUGGUGUAGCGGUGAAAUGCGUAGAUAUCAAGAGGAACACCUGAGGUGAAGACGGGUUGCUGGGCCAACACUGACGCUGAUGCGCGAAAGCCAGGGGAGCAAACGGG
rnacentral:rRNA from 1 species